rnacentral:tmRNA from 1 species
GGGCUAGUACUGGUUUCGACGGGGGCAAGGAAGGUCGGAAAGCCAUCCGUAGUGGGACACUACGUUAAAAGUUCCAAAAAAAUAUAAACGCUGAAGAUAAUUUAGCUUACGCUGCCUAAAGGCAGCAGUCACUCUUAAGUCAUUCGCUGCUUAGGAUAGUGGCUUCGACUAAGGCGAAGAACUGCUUUAUCAAAGCUUUGAGAUAAAGAUGGAAAUAUGAAGCUACUAAGAGCCUUAACCUGUCAUUGGGUGAAGGUUUAAGGGAAUGUUAAUACGAUGACUAUGAUGGAAGAUGUCUAACUGGAAAAGUCUUCGGACGCGGGUUCGACUCCCGCCUAGUCCACUU